rfam:Sphingobacterium faecium PCAi_F2.5 genome assembly, contig: Scaffold2
AAGCAGUUAUCCGAAAAGGCUUAAUAGAGUAGGAG